UAUGUGAUCGUCUCUCGCAUAUCAAUAAGCGGAGGAAAAGAAACUAACAAGGAUUCCCCUAGUAACGGCGAGUGAAGCGGGAAGAGCUCAAAUUUGAAAUCUUAAAGGGUUUCCCUUUACGAAUUGUAGUUUAAAGAAGUGUUUUCUGUUGAGGUUUUGGUAAAAGUUCUUUGGAAUAGGACAUCAUAGAGGGUGAGAAUCCCGUAUUUGACCUUUACUUUCAACUUUGUGAUACACUUUCAAAGAGUCGGAUUGUUUGGGAAUGCAGUCCAAAAUGGGUGGUAAAUUUCAUCUAAAGCUAAAUAUUGGCGAGAGACCGAUAGCGAACAAGUACCGUGAGGGAAAGAUGAAAAGAACUUUGAAAAGAGAGUUAAACAGUACGUGAAAUUGUCAAAAGGGAAGCGUUUGACACCAGUGUUGUUUUUCUGAAAAUCAAUUAAAGAACUGUUUAUGCUAAGCUGUUUAGACUUUAUCAGCUAUCUGUUUAGUUUUGAGCUUUUCUUUAAUGCACUUUUCAGUUAACAAGUCAACAUCAAUUUCUUUUGCUGUAAAAAAGCUUGAGGAAGGUGGCUUGAGAUUCGUCUUAAGUGUUUAUAGCCUCUUGCCUAUGCAGUCGGAGAGAUUGAGGUCUGCAGCGUAGAUCCUUCGGGGCUAAAUGCAUUUGUGCUAAGUUAUAGCAUUUUAUAGACAACUUGUUGACUAUGAUUUGUCUUGUAGCUUACUCGCUUAUGUUAUUUUACCUACGCUUAGGAUGUUGAGUCAUCACACAUCUCU
rnacentral:rRNA from 1 species